AUACGAAGGGUGCGAGCGUUAAUCGGAAUUACUGGGCGUAAAGCGUACGUAGGCGGUUGGUUAAGUUAGAUGUGAAAGCCCCGGGCUUAACCUGGGAACUGCAUUUAAAACUGGCGAACUAGAGUUGAGUAGAGGGGAGUGGAAUUUCAGGUGUAGCGGUGAAAUGCGUAGAGAUCUGAAGGAACACCAGUGGCGAAGGCGACUCCCUGGACUCGAACUGACGCUGAGGUACGAAAGCGUGGGUAGCAAACGGGAUUAGAAACCCCAGUAGUCC
rnacentral:rRNA from 1 species